UUUGGUCUUGUUGUGAACUCGCUUUGGCAUGUUGAGCGCUAGCAAUCCUGGGACUUUCUGCCAAUUUCUCGCUUUGGUGAGUUAAACUUGCUUUGGCGAGUUGGUCUUUGCAAAGAAUGAUGAUUUCUUGGUCCUUGCUUUUAUUUUCCUGCACAAAUGGGUAGAGCAAGGCACAUGAAGCAUAAUUGGUAUAAUUACAUUAAAUUAUAGCUUUUCCUUAGAUAAUUUGCAAAACACUUAAAUAUCACUUUUGAACACUUAUCAACGGAUAUUGUGUCAAUUCCUACUCAUUCAACAACGCUUAAAUUUUGGCAGUGUCACUUCAGUCUGUAAAUUACCACAUUGCAGUCAAACUAACUACGAUCAACAAUAGCAAAUCAAUUUCUAACUAAUUUCAUCAUUAACAAUCCAAAAAAACAAACAAAUUUUCAUUUAGACAUUUUAUCAAAUACCUAGAGUCCAACUUUCAAUCUACUUAAAAUCAAACAAUUUCUAAACCCUAAAUUACCACACUGCACUCUAAACAACAUCUAAACUACAAUUUCUAACUUAAAAACCUAAAAAUCUCAUAUUUCUCAAAAAAAAAAAAUCAUAAAUUUAAACCAAAAAGAAGCAAUGAAGUAGGAUAAGCAUAACUUACUUGUUGAUUUGGUUGAUUUGAUGUUGAUUUCGUUGAAGUUGGUGAAAUUCGCAAAAAUGGUGUGAAAAAUCGUAUUUGAGAUGCUUUGAAAAUGAAUGGGGAUUGUGUUUAUGUUGCUGUGAUAUAUCACUUAAGUCAAACAAGAAUAUAAGGUGCGUGAGUUUAUGAUCACUAGGGUCAAGAUGGUUCAUCUUUUCUAUUACAAUUAUUUAGUGAACUGGGUAACAUUGGAAGAAAAAUAACUACU
rnacentral:lncRNA from 1 species